UAGGGAAUAUUGCUCAAUGGGCGAAAGCCUGAAGCAGCAACGCCGCGUGGAGGAUGACACUUUUCGGAGCGUAAACUCCUUUUCUUGGGGAAGAACAAUGACGGUACCUAAGGAAUAAGCAUCGGCUAAUUCCGUGCCAGCAGCCGCGGUAAUACGGAAGAUGCGAGCGUUAUCCGGAUUUAUUGGGUUUAAAGGGAGCGUAGGCGGGCUGUUAAGUCAGCGGUCAAAUGUCAGGGCCCAACCUUGGCAUGCCGUUGAUACUGGCGGCCUUGAGUUCACACAAGGAAGGUGGAAUUCGUCGUGUAGCGGUGAAAUGCUUAGAUAUGACGAAGAACUCCGAUUGCGAAGGCAGCCUUCUGGGGUGUUACUGACGCUGAGGCUCGAAAGUGCGGGAAUCAAACAGGAUUAGAUACCCUGGUAGU
rnacentral:rRNA from 1 species